UUCGGGUUGUAAACCUCUUUCAGCACAGACGAAGCGCAAGUGACGGUAUGUGCAGAAGAAGGACCGGCCAACUACGUGCCAGCAGCCGCGGUAAUACGUAGGGCGCAAGCGUUGUCCGGAUUUAUUGGGCGUAAAGAGCUCGUAGGCGGCCUGUCGCGUCUGCUGUGAAAGCCCGGGGCUUAACUCCGGGUCUGCAGUGGAUACGGGCAGGCUAGAGGCCGGUAGGGGAAAGUGGAAUUCCUGGUGUAGCGGUGAAAUGCGCAGAUAUCAGGAGGAACACCGGUGGCGAAGGCGGCUUUUCUGGGCCGGGCCUUGACGCUUGAGGAGCGAAAGCGUGGGGAGCGAACAGGAUUUAGAUACCCUGGUAGUCCAAGGGCGAAA
rnacentral:rRNA from 1 species